GUGAAGUGACACAAGAAAGGGAGAGACCAAUAAAGAAUUCAUCAUCAAGCCAAUUACCUAUCCGGAGAUUCAGAGUUUUCCUACCUAAGGGCAAGGAGGCUCCAGUAUUUACAAAGCAACUCCCUCCACAUUGUUCAUGCAUGCUAAGUUGCUAAGUCAUGUCCCACUCUUUGGGACCCUUUGGACUGUAGUCAGCCACUGUAAUCUUGGGAUUCUCCAAGCAAGAAUACUGGAGCGGGUUGCCAUUUCCUUCUCCAGGGGAUCUUCCCCAUCCAGGGAUCGAGCCUGUGUCUCCUGCAUUGGCAGGAGGAUUCUUUACCACUGAGCCACCAAGGAAGACCUGUCUCCAUGCUGAGCAUUGCUAAUUUGGGGCACUUCAAGUUUGCUUUCUGCAAAUGGCCUGAUGUACUUCUUCAGCCAGCAAAAAGCCCUCAGCCACAGAGGAUGGUGUGGGACCCAAGCCAACAGCAGCAGCAUCACUUAGGAACUUGUUAAAGAGGUUCUCAGAACAUACUGUGGACUAUCACACCAUCUGUACCAAGAGCCUCACAUGCAAACACAAAUUAAAAAUGAAACUGUAAAAUUUGCAAGGAAACAAUACAGACCUUUUAUCUCA